rnacentral:rRNA from 1 species
GAUGAACGCUGGCGGCGUGCCUAACACAUGCAAGUCGAACGAAACUGAUUUCAUGAAACUUCGGUAGAUUGGAUGAAAGUUGAGUGGCGGACGGGUGAGUAACACGUGGGCAACCUGCCUCACAGAGGGGGGAUAGCAGUUGGAAACGACUGCUAAUACCGCAUGAUACAUUUGGGCGGCAUCGCUUGGAUGUCAAAGAUUUUAUCGCUGAAAGAUGGCCUCGCGUCUGAUUAGAUAGUUGGCGGGGUAACGGCCCACCAAGUCGACGAUCAGUAGCCGGACUGAGAGGUUGACCGGCCACAUUGGGACUGAGAUACGGCCCAGACUCCUACGGGAGGCAGCAGUGGGGAAUAUUGGGCAAUGGACGCAAGUCUGACCCAGCAACGCCGCGUGAAGGAAGAAGGCUUUCGGGUUGUAAACUUCUUUUAAGGGGGAAGAGCAGAAGACGGUACCCCUUGAAUAAGCCACGGCUAACUACGUG